rnacentral:rRNA from 1 species
UACAGAGGGUGCAAGCGUUGUCCGGAAUUAUUGGGCGUAAAGCGCGCGCAGGCGGUCCUUUAAGUCUGAUGUGAAAGCCCACGGCUCAACCGUGGAGGGUCAUUGGAAACUGGGGGGACUUGAGUGCAGAAGAGGAGAGUGGAAUUCCACGUGUAGCGGUGAAAUGCGUAGAGAUGUGGAGGAACACCAGUGGCGAAGGCGACUCUCUGGUCUGUAACUGACGCUGAGGCGCGAAAGCGUGGGGAGCAAACAGG